GGCCCAGUGGCGGAUGGAUUCCGCAUCCGCUAAAUGUGAUGGCUCUUGCAAUAAUGCAUUGGAAGCAGAAUACGCUCGUUCGAAUCGAGCCUGGGCCA